rnacentral:tRNA from 1 species
UGGGGCUGUCACUCAGUGGUAGAGCACUUGCCUAGCAUGUGUGAGGCACUGGGUUCAAUUCCCAGCACCACAA